UGCCAAAGAUCAAGCUUGUACAUAACCUGGUAAAUAAAUCCAUAAUUAAGUGCUUAGGAGCAUAAAAAAUGAUAAGUAUAAGCCAUUUCCAUUCUGGGUAACUCACGGGUUUCUCUUCAGGUAUACGACAUCCCUCCCUCAUCAGCGAAAGGCCCUGUGUUUUCAGUUCCAGUGGGAGAGAUAAAACCUCAAGGGGUGUAUGACAUCCCACCUACAAAAGGGGUAUAUGCCAUUCCGCCCUCUGCUUGCCGGGAUGAAGCAGGGCUUAGGGAAAAAGACUAUGACUUCCCCCCUCCCAUGAGACAAGCUGGAAGGCUGGACCUCAGACCGGAGGGGGUUUAUGACAUUCCCCCAACCAGCACCAAGCCAGCAGGGAAGGACCUUCAUGUAAAAUACAACUGUGACAUUCCAGGAGCUGCAGAACCGGUGGCUCGAAGGCACCAGAGCCUGUCCCCAAAUCACCCACCCCCGCAACUCGGACAGUCAGUGGGCUCUCAGAAUGACGCAUAUGAUGUCCCCCGAGGCGUUCAGUUUCUUGAGCCACCAGCAGAAACCAGUGAGAAAGCAAAC
rnacentral:sRNA from 1 species